AUGAAUGGACCUUAGGUUAAAUUUUAUUAUGUGAUUAAUUAAAUUAAAUGUGAGAGACAUUUAAUUUAAUUAAUUAAUGUUAAGUUUGGUGAUUAAAACUUAAUAAGAGUGAAAAAAUGUGUCAAAAGUCAAGUUUGGACUUUUCUUCUUAUAAACCUUUAUUAACCUUUAUAAAAAAAAAAAAAAAAAAAAUUAAUGGUCACAUAUAUGGAAAAUGGUGGCUGGCCAUGUGCUAUUUUAGAGUGGUGUGAACCCAAUUUUAUAAAAUUCAAAUGCCAUUUAAUUAAGAAGUCAAGUGGGCAAGUGGGUAGAAAAGCACUCAAGUGUUUUGUGAUAUUUUGAAGAGUUGUGUGAGCCAUUCUAACCCCCAAAUCCGACCACUCUCCCUCCCUCAUUCACUCUCAUCUGAUUUUUUGAAGACUCUCUCAAGUGUUCUCUCCAUUUUCAACCCCAAGAACACCAAAGAAACUUGGAAGCUAAGUCUUGGUCUAGGAAGGGUUUUCCCUAAGUUGGUUAGGGUUUUUGAAAGGUUUUGAAGGAGUCAAAGCUUAUAGGAAGGUCCAAACCUUAAGCAAGAACACCAAAGAGGUAAGUGCAAGGGCAAGGCAGAGCAGUGAGUGCUGGAGUCUUCCUUGCAAAUGUACAUGUGGACCGACCUUUUGGGAAGCCUUUUUAUUUUUGGAAAUGUUGUGUAAUUUUCCUAAACUAGGCUCACUCUAAUAUUUAUAAAACAUGUUUGUAACUAAAUGUUAAGUAUGGCCAUACGACUUUUUAAAAAGUUUUUUUUUUCUAUGGGUUUUUGAGACAUUUUGUUAAAUGAAAACA